rnacentral:rRNA from 1 species
UUGAAAGGGAAACGAUUGAAGUCAGUCGUACCUGUGGGUAAUCAGCCUUUUGGGUGUGAUUUUGUGGAGUGUGAGGAGUUAAACGCCUUCAUGCCUGCAUAUUCGUGCACUUUGGGUGUAUUUACCCGUGUGGUAAGUUAACAUCAAUUUCGGUGGUCAUAAAAUGGCUGGAGGAAUGUAGCUUCGAUCUUGUAUUGAAGUGUUAUAGCCUUCGGUAGAUGUGAUGAUCGGGAUUGAGGAUUGCAACGGAUACCCCUCGGGGCUACCUGUCUGAUCUCUGAUCGUUGCUCUGGUGCCGAAAGCUUGCUUACGGUUAUCAAAGUCGAUGGUCAAUAGGUUAGAAUGGGUUAAAUUCGUUAAGGAUGUUGACGUA